UACGUAGGGGGCUAGCGUUGUCCGGAAUCAUUGGGCGUAAAGCGCGUGUAGGCGGUCCGGUAAGUCCGCUGUGAAAGUCGGGGGCUCAACCCUCGGAUGCCGGUGGAUACUGUCGGGCUUGAGUACGGAAGAGGCGAGUGGAAUUCCUGGUGUAGCGGUGAAAUGCGCAGAUAUCAGGAGGAACACCAAUUGCGAAGGCAGCUCGCUGGGACGUUACUGACGCUGAGGAACGAAAGCUAGGGGAGCGAACGGG
rnacentral:rRNA from 1 species